rnacentral:rRNA from 1 species
CCUACGGGAGGCAGCAGUGAGGAAUAUUGGUCAAUGGACGAGAGUCUGAACCAGCCAAGUAGCGUGAAGGAUGACUGCCCUAUGGGUUGUAAACUUCUUUUAUAUGGGAAUAAAACGUUCCACGUGUGGGAUUUUGUAUGUACCAUAUGAAUAAGGAUCGGCUAACUCCGUGCCAGCAGCCGCGGUAAUACGGAGGAUCCGAGCGUUAUCCGGAUUUAUUGGGUUUAAAGGGAGCGUAGGUGGAUUGUUAAGUCAGUUGUGAAAGUUUGCGGCUCAACCAUAAAAUUGCAGUUGAAACUGGCAGUCUUGAGUACAGUAGAGGUGGGCGGAAUUCGUGGUGUAGCGGUGAAAUGCUUAGAUAUCACGAAGAACUCCGAUUGCGAAGGCAGUUCACUGGACUGCAACUGACACUGAGGCUCGAAAGUGUGGGUAUCAAACAGGAUUAGAUACCCUAGUAGUC